rnacentral:rRNA from 1 species
UACAGAGGUCCCGAGCGUUGUUCGGAUUCACUGGGCGUAAAGGGUGCGUAGGUGGCUUGGAAAGUUUGAUGUGAAAGCUCAGGGCUUAACCCUGAAAUGGCAUUGAAUACUGCUGAGCUGGAGGUUUGGAGGGGGGACUGGAAUUCUCGGUGUAGCAGUGAAAUGCGUAGAUAUCAAGAGGAACACCAGUGGCGAAGGCGAGUCCCUGGACAACACCUGACACUGAGGCACGAAAGCUAGGGGAGCAAACAGG